rnacentral:rRNA from 1 species
GACGAACGCUGGCGGCGUGCUUAACACAUGCAAGUCGAACGGAAAGGCCCUGCUUUUGUGGGGUGCUCGAGUGGCGAACGGGUGAGUAACACGUGAGUAACCUGCCCUUGACCUUGGGAUAACUUCAGGAAACUGGGGCUAAUACCGGAUAGGAGCUCCUGCUGCAUGGUGGGGGUUGGAAAGUUUCGGCGGUUGGGGAUGGACUCGCGGCUUAUCAGCUUGUUGGUGGGGUAGUGGCUUACCAAGGCUUUGACGGGUAGCCGGCCUGAGAGGGUGACCGGCCACAUUGGGACUGAGAUACGGCACAGACUCCUACGGGAGGCAGCAGUGGGGAAUAUUGCACAAUGGGCGGAAGCCUGAUGCAGCAACGCCGCGUGCGGGAUGACGGCCUUCGGGUUGUAAACCGCUUUCGCCUGUGACGAAGCGUGAGUGACGGUAAUGGGUAAAGAAGCACCGGCUAACUACGUG